rnacentral:rRNA from 1 species
GAGUUUGAUCUUGGCUCAGGAUGAAUGCUGGCGGCAGGCCUCAAACAUGCAAGUCUAGGGGGUGUAGCAAUACAUCACCGGCGGACGGGUGCGUAACACGUGGGAAUAUACCUUUUGGUUCGGAACAACGCAGGGAAACUUGCGCUAAUACCGAAUGUGCCCUUACGGGGAAAGAUUUAUCGCCAAAGGAUUAGCCCGCGUCCGAUUAGCUAGUUGGUGAGGUAAUGGCUCACCAAGGCUCCGAUCGGUAGCUGUUCUGAGAGGAAGAUCAGCCACACUGGGACUGAGACACGGCCCAGACUCCUACGGGAGGCAGCAGUUGGGAAUCUUGGACAAUGGGGGAAACCCUGAUCCAGCCAUGCCGCGUGAGUGAUGAAGGCCUUCGGUUGUAAACUCUUUCGUACGGGACGAGUAAUGACGGUACCCGUACGAAGAAGACUCCGGC